rnacentral:lncRNA from 1 species
GUGUCGGGGACCACCAAACAAUUCUUCCAAACCCAGACCCUCUGGGGCCAGGGUCGGGUGAUUGGGAGGAGCUGCGAGGUACCGGGCCCUUGGAUUAGUUGCCGUUGAAGGAGCCUCCGCCAAUGAAAUCUUCUCUGCGCUCUGAUUUGGCGGUUCUUCUGUGCAAAUAUGACAGCUUUCUCUCUCAGCUCUUUCCUGCAUCUCUCCAUGUCCGUCCCCAGAGCCCAGCUCUUCAUCUGCAAUUUCUACACCACAACCUUUGCAACCACCACCACCACCACCACCACCACCACCACCACCACCACCACCACCACCACCAUGACCACCCCUAGUUCCCAUGCCAGCAAGUGCCGGGUUGCUACAAAGGUGACAGGGCACAUUGGGAAGAAGGCUUGUUGCUUGCAGAAGACACUAAGACCUGUGUUUCCAGGUGGGGAAAUGUUAGAAUAAAUGCAAUAUACUUUGUACUAAAUAUAUAGUCUUGGAGAAGUGUUCAGAUUGUUUAUUCCUUUGAUGGUGACUAAUGUAUUAGAAAGAAACAGAUUUUUAUUU